rnacentral:rRNA from 1 species
UACGGGAGGCAGCAGUGGGGAAUAUUGCACAAUGGGCGAAAGCCUGAUGCAGCUAUGCCGCGUGUAUGAAGAAGGCCUUAGGGUUGUAAAGUACUUUCAUCGGGGAGGAAAAACAAAACUAAUAAUUUUAUUUCUUGACGUUACCCGAAAAAGAAGCACCGGCUAACUCCGUGCCAGCAGCCGCGGUAAUACGGAGGGUGCUAGCGUUAAUCAGAAUUACUGGGCGUAAAGAGCACGUAGGUGGUUUUUUAAGUCAGAUGUGAAAUCCCUGGGCUUAACCUAGGAACUGCAUUUUGAAACUGAAAUACUAGAGUAUCGUAGAGGGAGGUAGAAUUCUAGGUGUAGCGGUGAAAUGCGUAGAUAUCUGGAGGAUACCUGUGGCGAAAGCGGCCCCUAAAGAUACCUGACACUGAGGUGCGAAAGCGUGGGGAGCAAACG